CUGAGUGUAAAAACUCCCAACCCUUUGUGAACAUACCUCUGUUGCUUCGGCGGAUGCGCCCCGGGCGCGCCUUCUAGGAGGCGUGCCCCGGAACCAGGCGCCCGCCGGGGGACCUACAAACUCUUGUAUUCCUAGCGGAUCUCUGAGUGUGAUUUAAACAAAUCAAAUCA
rnacentral:misc_RNA from 1 species